rnacentral:rRNA from 1 species
CCUACGGGAGGCAGCAGUGAGGAAUAUUGGUCAAUGGCCGAGAGGCUGAACCAGCCAAGUCGCGUGAGGGAAGAAUGUCCUAUGGAUUGUAAACCUCUUUUGUCAGGGAGCAAAGUCACCCACGUGUGGGGGUUGGAGAGUACCUGAAGAAAAAGCAUCGGCUAACUCCGUGCCAGCAGCCGCGGUAAUACGGAGGAUGCGAGCGUUAUCCGGAUUUAUUGGGUUUAAAGGGUGCGUAGGCGGGUUAUCAAGUCAGCGGUAAAAUCGUGGAGCUCAACUCCAUCCAGCCGUUGAAACUGAUGAUCGUGAGUGGGCGAGAAGUAUGCGGAAUGCGUGGUGUAGCGGUGAAAUGCAUAGAUAUCACGCAGAACUCCGAUUGCGAAGGCAGCAUACCGGCGCCCGACUGACGCUGAAGCACGAAAGCGUGGGUAUCGAACAGGAUUAGAUACCCGAGUAGUC